rnacentral:rRNA from 1 species
UACGAAGUGUGCAAGCGUUACUCGGAAUUACUGGGCGUAAAGCGUGCGUAGGUGGUUUGUUAAGUCUGUUGUGAAAGCCCCGGCCUCAACCUGGGAAUGGCAAUGGAUACUGGCAAGCUAGAGUGCGGUAGAGGGUAGUGGAAUUCCCGGUGUAGCGGUGAAAUGCGUAGAGAUCGGGAGGAACACCAGUGGCGAAGGCGGCUACCUGGACCAGCACUGACACUGAGGCACGAAAGCGUGGGGAGCAAACAGG